GCACAACGCGAAGAACCUUACCUAGACUUGACAUCCCCUGAAUUACCUGUAAUGAGGGAAGUCCCUUCGGGGACAGGGAGACAGGUGGUGCAUGGUUGUCGUCAGCUCGUGUCGUGAGAUGUUGGGUUAAGUCCCGCAACGAGCGCAACCCUUAUCAUUAGUUGCUACCAUUAAGUUGAGCACCCUAAUGAGACUGCCCGGGUUAACCGGGAGGAAGGUGGGGAUGACGUCAAAUCAUCAUGCCCCUUAUGUCUAGGGCCACACACGUGCUACAAUGGUGAGUACAACGAGAUGCGAACCCGCGAGGGGGAGCUAAACUUAAAAACUCAUCUCAGUUCGGAUUGCAGGCUGCAACUCGCCUGCAUGAAGCUGGAGUUGCUAGUAAUCGCGAAUCAGAAUGUCGCGGUGAAUACGUUCCCGGGUCUUGUACACACCG
rnacentral:rRNA from 1 species